rnacentral:rRNA from 1 species
UCAGGACGAACGCUGGCGGCACGCUUAACACAUGCAAGUCGAACGGAGUUAAAUUGGAGCUUGCUUUGAUUUAACUUAGUGGCGGACGGGUGAGUAACACGUGAGCAACCUGCCUUGAGAGUGGAAUAGCUUCUGGAAACGGAUGGUAAUACCGCAUGAAAUUAUCUGACCGCAUGAUCGGAUAAUCAAAGAUUUAUCGCUCAAAGAUGGGCUCGCGUCUGAUUAGAUAGUUGGUGGGGUAACGGCCUACCAAGUCGACGAUCAGUAGCCGGACUGAGAGGUUGAACGGCCACAUUGGGACUGAGACACGGCCCAGACUCCUACGGGAGGCAGCAGUGGGGAAUAUUGCACAGUGGGCGGAAGCCUGAUGCCAGCGAUGCCGCGUGGAGGAAGAAGGUUUUCGGAUUGUAAACUCCUGAUCUGAGGGACGAUAAUGACGGUACCUCAGGAGAAAGCUCCGGCUAACUACGUGCCAGCCGCAGC